rnacentral:tRNA from 1 species
AGGGCCGGUAGUCUAGCGGAAGGAUGCCCGCUUGGCGACUGCGGGAGAUCCCGGGUUCGAAUCCCGGCCGGUCCACC